rfam:Methylobrevis pamukkalensis strain PK2 A6302_contig000089, whole genome shotgun sequence.
UGUGCAUGCCCUCUUUAGGGCGUUUCCUCCCUAAGACUUCAGGCCGCCGCAAGGCGGCUUUUUUUUGACCUGG